rnacentral:rRNA from 1 species
CAUCAUCUAUCGCAGAUAGUCGUCAGGCAUAUUUGCCAUGCGCUAGGCUGAUGCAGCAUCGCGCUUGGAGGAUCGAUGGCUAGAUGUAAACUCCGUUCAAGCAUGACGAAGCAUACUGCGACGGUAGUGCUAGAAGAACGCACCGGGCUACUACGUGGCAGCAGCCGCUGUAAUACGUAGGGUGGCGAGCGUGGUCUGGAAUUACUGGGCGUAAAGAGCUCGUAGGAUGUUUGUCGCGUCGUCUGUGAAAUUCCGCGGCUUAACUCACGGGCGUGCAGGCGAUACGGGGCAUAACUUGAGUGCUGUAGGGGAGACUGGAAUUCCUGGUGUAGCGGUGAAAUGCGCAGAUAUCAGGAUGAACACCGAUGGCGAAGGCAGGUCUCUGGGCAGUAUCUGACGCUGAGGAGCGAAAGCAUGGGUAGCGAACAGGAUUAGAUACCCUGGUAGUCCAUGCCGUAAUCGGUGGGCGCUAGGUGUGGGGGUCUUCCACGACUUCUGUGCCGUAGCUAACGCAUUAAGCGCCCCGCCUGGGGAGUACGGCCGCAAGGCUAAAACUCAAAGGAAUUGACGGGGGCCCGCACAAGCGGCGGAGCAUGUGGAUUAAUUCGAUGCAACGCGAAGAACCUUACCUGGGCUUGACAUAAGCCGGAUCGGCGCAGAGAUGCGUUUUCCCUUGUGGUCGGUAUACAGGUGGUGCAUGGUUGUCGUCAGCUCGUGUCGUGAGAUGUUGGGUUAAGUCCCGCAACGAGCGCAACCCUUGUCUUGUGUUGCCAGCACGUUAUGGUGGGGACUCGCGAGAGACUGCCGGGGUUAACUCGGAGGAAGGUGGGGAUGACGUCAAAUCAUCAUGCCCCUUAUGUCCAGGGCUUCACACAUGCUACAAUGGUCGGUACAGCGGGUUGCUACACCGUGAGGUGGUGCUAAUCCCUUAAAGCCGGUCUCAGUUCGGAUUGGAGUCUGCAACUCGACUCCAUGAAGUCGGAGUCGCUAGUAAUCGCAGAUCAGCAACGCUGCGGUGAAUACGUUCCCGGGCCUUGUACACACCGCCCGUCACGUCAUGAAAGUUGGUAACACACGAAGCCAGUGGCCCAAACUCGUUAGGGAGCUGUCGAAGGUGGGAUCGGCGAUUGGGACGAAGUCGUAACAAGGUAACCAAGGCAGAAUACGCGCCGCAACAC